CCACACUCUCAUUCCACCUAAGUCCCUGCAGCCCAGUCUGAUGGCCUCCCCUACCAGCAGAGUGCCCCUCACCAUGCCCUAGAUACGGCUCACGCUCCAGCUAGCACCGAGUUCUCAGGGACACGCCACAGAGCCAGAGAGGGCUCUCCCGGGAGCCUUGAGACGACCCUCUGAUGGGCCAGCUCUCCCUCCUCCCAUCAGACACUCAGCAAGUUAACGUGCCUGAACCCCAACCAGCAUCCUCCCUGUCCUCUGGCUCCUCCCUGUCCUGCCUCCACCUCUAGACAGACAUUGAACAGCCUGAUCAGGGCUCAGCAAACACUCUGUUCAGGACCAGAGAGCAAAUGUUUGCAUCUCUGUAGCUGAUAUAGUCUUUGCCACGGCUACUGAAUUCUGUCUUAGAGGACAAAACAGCCAUAAGCCAGGUGCGGUGGCUCAAGUCUGUAAUCUGAGUGGCUCAGGAGGCGGAGGCAGGAGGAUCGCAAGUUCAA
rnacentral:lncRNA from 1 species